rnacentral:rRNA from 1 species
GACGAACGCUGGCGGCGUGCUUAACACAUGCAAGUCGAACGGUGAAGCGCUUUCCUUUUUGGUUGGUGUGGAUGAGUGGCGAACGGGUGAGUAACACGUGAGUAACCUGCCCCCUUCUUCUGGAUAACCGCAUGAAAGUGUGGCUAAUACGGGAUAUUCUGCGCCUGCUGCAUGGUGGGUGUGGGAAAGAUUGUGCCUUUGGGUGUUUUCGGUGGGGGAUGGGCUCGCGGCCUAUCAGCUUGUUGGUGGGGUGAUGGCCUACCAAGGCGGUGACGGGUAGCCGGGCUGAGAGGGUGGACGGUCGCACUGGGACUGAGACACGGCCCAGACUCCUACGGGAGGCAGCAGUGGGGAAUAUUGCACAAUGGGCGCAAGCCUGAUGCAGCGACGCCGCGUGAGGGAUGGAGGCCUUCGGGUUGUGAACCUCUUUCGCCAGUGAAGCAGGCCUGCUCCUUGUGGGUGGGUUGACGGUAGCUGGAUAAGAAGCGCCGGCUAACUACGU